CGUCGACGCUUUUUGCGUUGCCGUCACGCGGCCGACAAACAACGUCGUUUUGUUUCCGUCUGUACCGUCGCAUAAUGCAUUUUCGUCUGUGCCCGAGAACCCACAGCCGACGCAUAUAACGCGUAUGUUACGCUUACAGGAAACCUACUUUGAGCGCAUUAGUUACCGGUUUUAAACACUUCGGUACGGUCCAAUAUCGGCAAUGCGCGCCGAUAAAUUUACGCCGUAGCGUUGGACGAGCUCGGACAACUUUUGUCGGGAAAACGAGGAUUCGCGUUUCGCAGAAAACGAAUGGAGACAUAAACGACACGUUGUUUUUGCGUGAAGUGUUGCUUUGUAGGGCUGCGAGACACGGGUCACUAACGAAAUUGAAAAAGAUCCCUCGGAACGUUUGAAAUACGGUGUCGAAGACGGAUGUGGGAAAAAAAACUCGGGACAGAAAAAGUAACAACGAAUAAAUUGUGAACGAUCCCGAAUCAAAGACACAAUAUACGACCACAAUGAAUGUCAGUGUUGGGCGACGAUGGGAUACGAUGGGACACGCGAUACGGUAUGGACGGGGUGAUAGAUAAUUGCACCGCGCUAUAAUAGAAAGUACGAUAAUUGACGGACAAAAACCACCGGAAAACCCGUAAAAUUCAAACGUGUUUCAACUGAAAAAAAUGCGGCGAUAGACACUUACGCUUUGGAUUAAUGAGGUUUGCCGAAGUCCGAAGGACAUUGUGAACCGGCCCAAUAACCGUUGAUAAAAAACAUAAAAGCUUAUAAAUAUAUUUUACAGACUUGUGUACACUCGAGCCUUCUACGGCCAAUGCCGAUGUAUAACACCUAUAGGUCGUUAACAUGAGGCGACGAGGUGAAUUCGAUCCGAAAAAAAAUGUUUCGAUGUAUAGUUAAAUAGAGUAUAUUGUUGGUCUUAUCGUAGACCACGGAGAAUACCGAGCCAAAACAGUGUAAAGAAUUACAUCUGCAUGUUUUAUAUCGUAAGG